AGCAGCCGCGGUAAUUCCAGCUCCAAUAGCGUAUAUUAAAGUUGUUGCAGUUAAAAAGCUCGUAGUUGAAUUUCGGGGUUAGUAGGUUGGUCAUGCCUCUGGUAUGUACUGGUCUCACUGAUUCCUCCUUCCUGAUGAACCUUAAUGCCAUUAAUUUGGUGUUUUGGGGAAUUUGGACUGUUACUUUGAAAAAAUUAGAGUGUUUAAAGCAAGCUAACGCUUGAAUACAUUAGCAUGGAAUAAUGAAAUAGGACGUUCGAUCCUAUUUUGUUGGUUUCUAGGAUUGACGUAAUGAUUAAUAGGGAUAGUUGGGGGCAUUAGUAUUCAAUUGUCAGAGGUGAAAUUCUUGGAUUUUAUUGAAGACUAACUACUGCGAAAGCAUUUGCCAAGGAUGUUUUC
rnacentral:rRNA from 1 species